ACGUAGGUGGCGAGCGUUGUCCGGAAGUACUGGGUGUAAAGGGUGCGUAGGCGGAUUUGCAAGUCAGGUGUGAAAACUAUCGGCUUAACCGGUAGCCUGCACUUGAAUCUGUAAGUCUUGAGUGGUGAAGAGGUAAGCGGAAAUCCUAGUGUGGCGGUGAAAUGCGUCGAUAUUAGGAGGAACACCGAUGGCGAUGUCAGCUUACUGAGCAAUAGCUCACGCUGAGGCACGCAUGCAUAGGGAGCACACAG
rnacentral:rRNA from 1 species